rnacentral:rRNA from 1 species
GAUGAACGCUGGCGGCGUGCUUAAUACAUGCCAGUCGAACGAACGGACGAGGAGUUUGCUUUUCUGUUGUUAGCGGCGGACGUGUGUGUAACACGUGUAUAACCUCCCUAUAAUUCUGGGAUCAUCUGGAGAAAGCGGAGCUAAUACCGGAUAAUAUUUUGAACCGCAUGGGUGAAAAGUGAAAUACGGUCUUUCUGUCACUACUAGCUGGAUCUGCGCUGUAUGAGCGAGUUGGUGAGGUAACGGGUUUCCAAGGCAACGAUGCAUAGCCGACUUGAGGGGCGGGUCGGCCACACUGGAACUGGGACACGCACCAUAGUCCUACGAGAGGGCGCAGUAGGGAAUCUGCGGCAACGGGCGAAAACAUGGCGGAGCGAGGCGGCGUGAGAGAUGGCGGUCUUCGGAUCGUAAAACCCUGUUAUUAGGUAAGAACCUAUGUGUACGUAAAUGUGCACAUCUUGACGGUAACUAGUCAGAAAGCAACGGCUAACUACGUG